AUCACUUCUCAGCCUAUUAAUAAGGUCAAGUGUAGUAUCUAUCUGUUCUUAUCAGUUUAAUAUCUGAGAUGUUGUCUAUCCGAUGACAACAUAUUACAUAGAUUUUUUAGCACUAGGAAAUGGAAUAGGAGCUUGCUCCUUCUAUCCCAUGCAUCAACCCGAUAUUGCAGUACACCCAGAAAUGAUGCACCCUCC